UACGGAGGGUGCAAGCGUUAUCCGGAAUCACUGGGUUUAAAGGGCGCGUAGGCGGUCAGCACAAGUCAGUUGUGAAAUCUCCGGGCUUAACUCGGAAAGGUCAACUGAUACUGUGCGACUAGAGUGCAGAAGGGGCAACUGGAAUUCUCGGUGUAGCGGUGAAAUGCGUAGAUAUCGAGAGGAACACCUGCGGCGAAGGCGGGUUGCUGGGCUGACACUGACGCUGAGGCGCGAAAGCCAGGGGAGCGAACGGG
rnacentral:rRNA from 1 species